AUUGAACGCUGGCGGCAGGCCUAACACAUGCAAGUAGAACGAGUGGCGGACGGGUGAGUAAUGUCUGGGAAACUGCCUGAUGGAGGGGGAUAACUACUGGAAACGGUAGCUAAUACCGCAUACCAUAAGAUGUGCCCAGAUGGGAUGAGCGAGUUGGUGGGGUAACGGCUCAACAAGGCGACGAGCCCUAGCUGGUCUGAGAGGAUGACCAUACACACUGGAACUGAGCCACGGUCCAGACUCCUACGUGAGGCAGCAGUGGGGAAUAUUGCACAAUGGGCGCAAGCCUGAUGCAGCAAUGCCGCGUGUAUUAAGAAGUCCUUCGGGUUGUAAAGUACGUUCAGCGGGGAGGCGUUACCCGCAGAAGAAGCACCGGCUAACUCCGUGCCAGCAGCCGCGGUAAUUC
rnacentral:rRNA from 1 species